GGUGUAGUUCUUAGUGAGGUUGACGCUGAUAAUGUCAAUUUUGUAAUUUAGAUGUUACCUACACCU
rnacentral:tRNA from 1 species